CCCAACGCCCUACAGCUGUUCCAGGUGUGACCCGCUGCUUCUGCAGAGGGUGAGAGAGGCUGUGGCACCUGCGAGGCGAGGCUCCCCAGGAAGAACCAACUUCAUUUCCCCUCUUUGGAAGCCCCCCAUUGGCCUUAGCUUGGAGUCACUGGCCCCAGAUCCCUGCUGCUUGGACCUCCAUGGAUAUUUUAAACAAGACGAACCCAGUGUUUGAAGAAUCCAGCAAAUCACUCAAACCCAGCGUUUGACAGAAGAGAAGAAUCAAACGAGGGAAGAAAAUUCACCCCUGACGCCACUAUAUCUGCUGCAGUCUCUUCUAUCCGCCAUUGAGGGUCCUUUGGACGGUCAGGGGCCUCGUCCAUCCGACCUCACGGCUCAAGUACAUCUGCUGUUAUGAGACGCUGGAGGCCUCUGGAGCACGCACCGUCUACCCGCAACAGACAUGCAACAUCCGGGACCUACGACACCAGAAGCUGAGGGGAAGGAAGAGAAGGGCUUCCACCAUUUCCGGUUCUGCUAUUGUUCUUGUCUCCUCAAGGUCUCCACUUCCGCUAGUGCUGGAAGUCUACAGAAGUGGAAACGAUACCUGUGAAGAGUUAAAUAGGCUUUUGGGCCUUUGUGGAUCAUUAAAAGAAAAAGCUCCUCAUUAGCAUAGUGGGGAGUAAAAACAAAACAAAACGCUUCUAUGAACUCUUUCCACUGUAAAACACAUUAAAUUUUUUCCUCCUUUAGGAUGUCAAAAAUGUCUUCUUUUCUAUUAAAUUUUACUCAAAUUGAUACUUUAUA